rnacentral:lncRNA from 1 species
CAAGACCUUUGCAUCUCCUCCUUUUCUAGUACUCACUGGAUGGCCGCAAAAGCAAACAGAGAUUUAUACUACUGCUGAUGUCAGAAAUUAGCUUUUAAAUGUUGAAGCAGCCCAAGUGCCCAUUGGGGUGCCUGCAGACCCAGGUGUUGAGAAGGCAUUAAAGCAGGUGUGGAGGACAGAGUCGUUUGCAAAAGGCAACAUGAAGAAGAGUGUGGUAGUGAGUAAAAAAGAGCCAUCUUGCUGGGAGGCAGAAGGAUUGUUGUUUCCAUGCCCUGUGAGAAGAGGAAUGGGAAGUUCCAGUUCUCAGAAUGUUUCUUCAGUUUUUCUCUUACAAGGAUAUAUUUUCUGUGAAGGGAGUUAUCCAACCAUGUGGUCCUCUGAUAGAAGGGACUGGACGGGACGACUCCAGAAACACCUUCCUGUUUUAUGUUUCCAAAGCAUCUUCUCUUCAGAGAGAGAAAUGGAAAAGGAGAGAGACAAGGUGUUGGGUUACUGGCUUCCUUCGGAAAGCAAGGAUGGUUCUCCUCAACGACAAAGACCUGAUUUCUAUAAUUUAAAUACCUGGACCGGAAAAAUCUUCAAUGAAUUGAAUCAACAGAAUGAAAACGAUUGGCUAACCUUAUAUUAUGUGCAACUCAACAUCUGUUUUCCAUUGGUAAGUUAAGAUGCAUUGCUUUCAAGGUCCUUCGAGCUCCAUGUCCAGAAAUGAAGUUGCCUUUCUGUAAAGGCCACAGUCCUACAGAGAGGGAACCAAACAUCUGAUCCUACAGCUGCAAAAUCAUAGGCUCUUCCACUUUACCUAAAGGGAAGAGCUUUGUCACCUUCACAGGUGACAGAUCCCAUCAGGACUGCUAUCAACCAGCACAAGCCAUGUGCUGCCACAAGGCUGCAAGCUCGUUUCUGCUCUUGCAAGUCAUUAACAG